GUUUUGUUUGUGUGUCGUGCUUGUGUUAGUGUAUGUGUUCGUGUGGUCAAAAGAAGCUCAUCCCUGGUCGUACUAUCCCUGAAUCGCUGCAUUUAGAAAGAAUUUACUCCAUUUCUUGCACUACCUUGUUGAGCCAUAAAUGCUCAAAUUAUCCUCUCCGAGUCGGCCAGCCCCUCUAAAUGGUGUACAGGUUGAGAACAAUAAAAGAAAAUGCUGGAAAUUAAGCUUUCCAACACCAAAAAGG
rnacentral:misc_RNA from 1 species